rnacentral:tRNA from 1 species
ACCUGGCUGGUUCAGUUGGAAGAGCAUGAGACUCUUGAUCUCAAGGUUGUGAGUUCGAGCCCCAAGCUGGGUG